AGGAAUGCUACAGCAGUUUCUACUACCUUGGUGGCUUAAAACUGCAGGAGUUUCGGUCCUGGAGACCAGAAGUCUAACAAGGUCAAAACUCACUCUGUGACCCCCUGAGGCUGAUCUCACCUCCCUCCUGAGGCCAUCUGGCCACAGUGCUCCUGGCCACCUCCUGCUGGUGCACUCCUGAGCACAGAUGUUCCUGCCAACUCUGAUCUGCAGAGAGCUCCUCACCACAGGUGAGCUGGCCAGCUGGCACAGAGCUUUGAAGGAGGGGUCAGCACCCAGACAGGGGCUAGGCUCCCCUGGAGUGAGGCAAGGGCAGGGUUCUGGUGGACAUGCUCUCUGGUGUUAAACAAUGGUGUGUGUGUCUCCAUGUGUGAGACUGCAUUACUGUGAAGUCUGGGGUGCUUGUGGUGUGUACGGUGUGCAUGUGCCGUGUGCAUGUGUGCAUGGUAUAGAAUGUGUGUAUGUGUGUCCGUGUGCUGGGUGUGUAUAAUAUUGCAUGUGGUGUGUGUAACACAGUAUGUCGAAUGUAACAUGGAGUGUGGAAUGUGGUGUCCAACUGGCAUGUGUGGUGUGGAACAUGGUGUAUGGUGUACACAUAUUAUGGCAUGCGGUGUGCAGCAGGCAUAUGGGGUGUUAUGGAGUGUGUUCAGUAACAUGGCGGGUGGUGUGUAACAUGACAUAUGGUGCACAUGUAUCAUGGUGUGUGGUGUGCAGAAUGUAUGUGGUGUGUA